ensembl:lncRNA
GAAACGAAGUUCACUUUCUCACUGUAAAUACUGAAGCUUGUUGUGCUUCUCCGCCAUGGACGGAUCACUGUGUGUGGACAAUGAAUACAGAUGGUGGCACCAAUGUUGAGCUGAAGGACUUGCAACUGUGGAUGGAAAGCUGUUCAAGUAAUAUUACUAUGACCGAGAACCUUCACAGACAUACUUACAUAAACCUAAAAGUUAGGGUUACUGAAGUUGGACUACCUGGUAUAUAAUGUUGUGCUACGUGAUUGCUAGCGACACAGCUAUGUUAGCAUAACAUUAGCACAGUGAAGCUGGAGGAUGAACGCCAACUUUUUUUCCACUCGAUAAAAGUUAACGUGAGGGAUUCUGGUGGUCAGGGACAAAUGCAAUCGCAUGGCAGGAUGCUGUAAACGGACCAAACUUCAGUCAGGAGAACAACU